rnacentral:rRNA from 1 species
UACGGGGGGGCAAGCGUUGUUCGGAAUUACUGGGCGUAAAGCGAGUGUAGGCGGUUUCCUAAGUCAGGUGUGAAAGCCCCGGGCUCAACCCGGGAAGUGCACUUGAAACUGGGAGGCUAGAGUAUCGGAGAGGUUGGUGGAAUUCUCGGUGUAGAGGUGAAAUUCGUAGAUAUCGGAAGGAACACCAGUGGCGAAAGCGGCUUCCUGGUCCAGCACCGACGUCAGGCACGAAAGCGUGGGGAGCCAAAC